GGCAUAGUGGUUUGAAUGUUGGACUAUGACUCCAGAGACUAGGGUUCAAUUCCCAGCUCAGCCA